rnacentral:lncRNA from 1 species
AGAAGGAUAAACCCGAACAAAAACCAAAAGAUAUAAGCAUCUUAGGCAGAAACCCUAAAACCCAAAAAACCCUAGGAGUAAAGCCUGUUAGGAGCUAACCACUGUAAACAAAACCCAAUGAGAAGGGAUUGGUGCUAGCAUUCUAUGAAGUAACUCCGCCCAGCCAAUCUCAAUAUACAGAUCUUUAUCUUCACUAGGCAACCAAUCUCUAUCUUCAGACUGCAAGAGAAGAGGCAAGAAAGAUAAAAUCAGGCGGUACCAAGUUUCUGAUAAAAUAC